AAAGUAAUCCACCAUUUCCCAUCAUCCAUCUGUUUAGGCUCUCUCCUGCUAGCUUACAGCUUCUCACAACCCCAAAGUCACAUUCGCUUUGCAGUGAAAAUGCCAAGUAAUACUGGAGCUAUUCAGUCGUACAUUUUACUUCCAGAUUCCAGCUCAGUCGAGGUUAACAAAGAUGUACAUGGAUCUAUUUGUUUGCAAGUAGAUGCAUCAGAAUGGAGCAGAGCGGGGCACUUGUGGCUAGAUAGUAGCACUUACAUCAAAGCUACAAGCUUUUCAAAUGACAUUUUUUGUCUGUUUCUGCUAUGCGAUGUUUUGAUUAAGAAAAUACUCAGAAAUGCAAUAUUAAGCUUAAUUUUCUGUAUACAUGUCCUCUUCCAUAAGAAAAAUGCCAUAAGAACAUGUUAAAAGCACACAAAAAGCAUAUUUAAAUGUGAGAUUUCUUAAUUUAUUUCAUUUAGAACCUUUUUUUUUUCAAAUAAAGAAGCUUCAGGUUUUGGAGAGUUUAUAAAAACUAUCCUAUCCUUUUUCCCAAAAUCAAUGGUAGUAACAGUAUUCUACAACUUAAAAAUAAAUGUAUCCACUUUUAAUUGUUUUGACAAGUGUGCUGUGCUACCUUCUUUGAAAGUUACAAGGACAGAUUAAAAUCAGCAUGCCACAUGAAGUUUUUAACAUUUAACAACUGUUCAUGUGGUUCUCCAGUAAAAAUCGGCUUGUUCUGGAGAUAUUUUGGCUAUUUCAGACAGCAAUAAGAUGAUUAUAGGAAUAUAGUGGCCAGACAUUUGCAGGAUGUAAACACAGUAGCGGAUCAACAAUGACACACAGCCACUUACUGAAAUUUGGUCAGAUGAAUUCAGACUCAUUAAAGCAACUUUUAAUGUGAUACACAUUGUUUCUCGCACUGUUUUCCCAACUAUCUAUGUCAUAAAUAUUUACCAGUGUAUCUUCUCUAUAAUUUUCCCAGUAACUGCUUUGCAGCAUGCCUCUGCUGUACCAAAGUAGACAGUAAAAAGUGUUGUACCUGACAUUGAUUCAGAUGUUUAAAGUUAGUCGGCAAAAUAUAAAGUUUGAAUCAGUGAAAUAUCCCAACAAGGAUUACAAAACAGAGGACUUCCAUUAUUCUUUUUUUCCGUUACUUUCCAAUCUGAAUACACCCAUAAUUUUCUGCCAACAGACAGUCCUUACUGUUGUGUUUCUUUUUUUCUUUUUUUUUAUAGAUCAAACCAGCGUCAGGUGCAAGAACACAAAGUCAUUUGUGAAUCCAAAGAAAAGAUCUCUGAUGGACAGAGGAGCAGUCUCAGGCAAAUAGUGGCCUGAUUGCUGUGGAGUGGUUUUUCAGUUUUGAAUCCAUUUUGGAUAAAAACUUUUUUUUUUUUACUGCUAUAUGUCUAAUACUUACUCAUAACAAAAUGCUUUGUGUGUAUCGACAAAAAUAUACUAUGAGAAAUAUGAUGUUGUUGAAAAAUGAAUAAAAAGUGUUAAUUGUGACACAGGUCUUUCCUACUUUGACCCAGAUUUAUGUUUGUGUGUCAAAAUAGUCUAAACUCCUUGUUGUGUUGCUUUUUUUAGUGACAAAAUUAAGCUGUGUGGUCAGAGAAAGCCCAGCUGGUUCCACAUCGAGAAAAAGGAAAGCCUCAACUAAGGAGGUUGGACGUUAAAAGAGGAAUCAGCUCUCAGAUAAGCAAGUCGACCGCUGCAACAGACAACAGUAACAAAUUGAUGAGAUUUUUGUUUCUGCUCAGUAACAACAAACUGAUCACUGAUGACAAAAGACAUUUAAUGAAGCAAUUUUGUAACAAUUUUUUACAAUUAAUUUAACAAAUUAAAUUAAUUAAACAAUCACGCCUCCAAAGAGCUCAACACACUGGAGGACACGAGGGCAACCCUUUAAAAGAUUUUGAAAUAUAACUGUCAUUUUCAUUUUUAAAAAACAAAGCAUGACAACAUUUUUGGAAUAAAUAAUUUACUCAAGUAGCCUGUUUAUUGCUAAAUACAAGAACCAUUUUGGGUGUCAGUCCUACAGCUUACUAAACGUUUGAAAUGCAACCGCGUUGUAACAUUUUUGCUGCACUACUUUGUUCUUGCAACUUGUGUUUUGCUAUUUUAGUUAGCAGCAGCACCCUGUGGUAAAGUUGUUGAAGUGUUGUGACUUUGUUGUUGUGCUGCUGUGUUCUUGCAUAGAUUAUGUAUUUUUUGCAGCACAUGCAUGUUGCUAUUUUAAUUUGCAGCAUCAGUGUUUGAUAAAGUUGUGCUAAUGCUUCUGUGUUCUUGCAGGACCACUAUGUAGGUUUUUCAAAUAUUUUGGGUGAUGAGAUCUCUCGGGCAUUGUAGAUUUGAAAAGAUUUGCUUUUCUUUUCAUUGUUUACCUGUCAGAAGAAAAAUGCUUCCAUUCUGGUGUAAUAUUUUCUUUAGCUAAUGUCUAUUAAACAUGUCCCUCUGCUGUUCUUCUCCUCUGAAGACAGCAGUUUGUCUCCACUAGACAGUUAUCGGUCUCCAAUGGGCAGUAGGUCUCAGAGACAAAGGAGUUCAUUGAGGAAUUUGAAGAUCAUUAUUAAACAGCUGAUGAAGGCAACAAAAGACCUGGAAGAAAAUAAUAUCUUUCACUGGGGCAUGAAGUUAGAGAACAUUUUAAUCGAGACUGGAAAGUCUGUCCCCCGUGUUUGUCUCAUCAGUUUUGGACUUAGCUGCUUCUCAGAAAAGGAUGCACAUUUUAAGCAUUUCUGUGGUAAGUUGUCAGAUUUGUCAUUUUUCACCCUUUAAAUCUAAUUUGUCAACAAAUGAAGAGAGUGCCAAGAACAAAACACACACAACAGUUCAGAGAGGGUGACCGUGCAGCGUGACAUUCAAGAAACAGGAAAAAAACAAACAAA